rnacentral:rRNA from 1 species
UACGUAGGGUGCAAGCGUUGUCCGGAAUUAUUGGGCGUAAAGAGCUCGUAGGCGGUCUGUUGCGUCGGCUGUGAAAACCCGGGGCUCAACCCCGGGCCUGCAGCCGAUACGGGCAGACUAGAGUUCGGCAGGGGAGACUGGGAUUCCUGGUGUAGCGGUGAAAUGCGCAGAUAUCAGGAGGAACACCGGUGGCGAAGGCGGUUCUCUGGGCAUUACCUGACGCUGAGGAGCGAAAGUGUGGGGAGCGAACAGG